rnacentral:rRNA from 1 species
AUUGAACGCUGGCGGCAGGCUUAACACAUGCAAGUCGAGCGGGGGGAGGUAGCUUGCUACCGGACCUAGCGGCGGACGGGUGAGUAAUGCUUAGGAAUCUGCCUAUUAGUGGGGGACAACAUCUCGAAAGGGAUGCUAAUACCGCAUACGUCCUACGGGAGAAAGCAGGGGAUCUUCGGACCUUGCGCUAAUAGAUGAGCCUAAGUCGGAUUAGCUAGUUGGUGGGGUAAAGGCCUACCAAGGCGACGAUCUGUAGCGGGUCUGAGAGGAUGAUCCGUCACACUGGGACUGAGACACGGCCCAGACUGCUACGGGAGGCAGCAGUGGGGAAUAUUGGGCAAUGGGGGGAACCCUGAUCCAGCCAUGCCGCGUGUGUGAAGAAGGCCUUAUGGUUGUAAAGCACUUUAAGCGAGGAGGAGGCUACUUUAGUUAAUACCUAGAGAUAGUGGACGUUACUCGCAGAAUAAGCACCGGCUAACUCUGUGCCAGCCGCCGCAGUAA